rnacentral:rRNA from 1 species
UACGUAGGUGGCAAGCGUUACUCGGAAUUACUAGGCGUAAAGCGCAGGUAGGUGGUGUGAUAAGUCCGUAAUGAAAUCUCCCGGCUUAACUGGGAGGGGUUUAGGGAUACUGUCAUGCUUGAGUGUGGGAGAGGUAACUGGAAUUCCUGGUGUAGCGGUGAAAUGCGUAGAGAUCACGAGGAACACCUAUGGCGAAAGCAGGUUACUGGCCCAAUACUGACACUGAGCUGCGAAAGCUAGGGGAGCAAACAGG